rnacentral:rRNA from 1 species
ACACCUUCUACCCCUAUAAAUAAUAUCAAAUUAAAACAUUUUAACAUCUACUUCUCUCCCACAACCCAAAACAAAAGUACUAUAAAGGAAAUAUAAAUAAUAUAAAGUAGUGAAUUACCCGCGUACCUUGUGCAUUAUGGUUUUACAAGCACAUAAUUAAAAAUAAACUCCCGAAUACUACACGAGCUGCUCUCUUAUUGCUAAGAGCCCACUACUAGUUGUGGCACCAACUUUAGAAAAUAAGGGGGCAGAGGCUACAUACCACACGCGCUAGAAUAUUGCUGGUUAUCAGUAAAAUUUAUUAAUUAAAACAUGUGGAAAAAUCUACAUUGUAAGGUUCCAGAGGAUAAGCCCUGAAACCAAAAGCUAAUUAAUUAAAAAUAUAAAAAUUCUUAGGCCUAAAAACAGCCAUUUUCAGUACUUUACCGUCCUGAAUAUCAAAUUCAUAAACUCAAAUGCCCCAUAAAACUGAAAUCUAAGUUAAAUUCCUUAACUUAGCAUAUUAUGUAAAAAUAAGUAUUAGAAACAAUAUUACACCUCAUUUUUUAAAUUUAUCCCAAUUACACCAACAAACGCUUAUAAGGAACUCGGCNAAUAUCUAUUUU